GGCCGACUCCGGUUGAUCCUGCCGGACCCGACUGCUAUCGGAUUGGGACUAAGCCAUGCGAGUCAACUCCGCAAGGGGUGGCGCACGGCUCAGUAACACGUAGUCAACCUACCCUGGGGACGGGGAUAACCUCGGGAAACUGAGGCUAAACCCCGAUAGGCCAUGGCUCCUGGAAUGGGCCAUGGCUGAAAUCUAUAUGGCCCCAGGAUGGGACUGCGGCCGAUCAGGUUGUUGGUGGGGUAAUGGCCCACCAAGCCUAUAACCGGUGCGGGCUCUGAGAGGAGGAGCCCGGAGAUGGGCACUGAGACAAGGGCCCAGGUCCUAUGGGGCGCAGCAGGCGCGAAACCUCCGCAAUGGGCGAAAGCCCGACGGGGUCAGUCCGAGUGGUCCCCGCUGAGGGGACCUUUUGCCAGCUGUAAACAGGCUGGAGAAUAAGGGGUGGGCAAGUUUGGUGUCAGCCGCCGCGGUAAUACCAGCACCCCGAGUGGUCGGGACGAUUAUUGGGCCUAAAGCAUCCGUAGCCGGCUCAGUAAGUCCUCCGUUAAAUCCAACGGCUCAACCGUUGGGCUGCGGGGGAUACUGCUGGGCUAGGGGGCGGGAG
rnacentral:rRNA from 1 species